rnacentral:lncRNA from 1 species
CGGCUCACUGCAACCUCCCUGCCUGAUUCUCCUGCCUCAGCCUGCAGAGUGCCUGCGAUUGCAGGCGCGCGCUGCCACGCCGGACUAGUUUUCGUAUUUUUUUGGUGGAGACAGGGUUUCGCUGUGUUGGCCGGGCUGGUCUCCAGCUCCUAACCGUGAGUGAUCUACCAGCCUCGGUGCCGGGAUUGCAGACGGAGUCUCGUUCACUCAGUGCUCAAUGUUACCCAGGCUGGAGUGCAGUGGCGUGAUCUCGGCUAGCUACAACAUCCACCUCCCAGCAGCCUGCCUUGGCCUCCCAAAGUGCCGAGAUUGCAGCCUCUGCCCGGCCGCCACCCCGUCUGGGAAGUGAGGAGCGUCUCUGCCUGGCCGCCCAUCGUCUGAGAUGUGAGGAGCCCCUCUGCCCGGCCGCCCAUCGUCUGAGAUGUGGGGAGCGCCUCUGCCCCGCCGCCCCGUCUGGGAUGUGAGGAGCGCCUCUGCCCAGCCGCGACCCCGUCUGGGAGGUGAGGAGCGUCUCUGCCCGGCCGCCCCGUCGGAGAAGUGAGGAGCCCCUCUGCCCGGCAGCCGCCCCGUCGGAGAAGUGAGGAGCGUCUCCGACCGGCAGCCGCCCCGUCCGGGAGGUGGGGGGUCAGCCCCCGCCCAGCCAGCCCUCCCCUCCGGGAAGGAGAUGGGGGACAGCCCCGCCCGGCCAGCCAACCCCUCCGCGAGGGAGGUGGGGGGCAGCCCCCGCCCGGCCAGCCGCCCCGUCCGGGAGGGAGGUGGGGGGCGCCUCUGCCCAACCGCCCCUUCUGGUAAGUGAGGAGCCCCUCUGCCCGGCCACCACCCCGUCUGGGAGGUGUACCCAACAGCUCAUUGAGAACGGGCCAUGAUGACGAUGGCGGUUUUGUCUAAUAGAAAAGGGGGAAAUGUGGGGAAAAGAUACAGAAAUCAGAUUGUUGCUGUGUCUGUGUAGAGAGAAGUAGACAUGGGAGACUCCAUUUUGUUCUGUACUAAGAAAAAUUCUUCUGCCUUGGGAUGCCUUACCCCCAACCCGGUGCUCUCUGAAACAUGUGCUAUGUCCACUCAGGGUUAAAUGGAUUAAGGGUGGUGCAAGAUGUGCUUUGUUAAACAGAUGCUUGAAGGCAGCAUGCUCGUUAAGAGUCAUCACCACUCCCUAAUCUCAAGUACCCAGGGACACAAACACUGCGGAAGGCCACAGGGUCCUCUGCCUAGGAAAACCAGAGACCUGUGUUCACUUGUUUAUCUGCUGACCUUCCCUCCACUAUUGUCCUAUGACCCUGCCAAAUCCCCCUCUGCGAGAAACACCCAAGAAUGAUCAAUAAAAAAAAAUAAAAAUAAAAAUAAAAAUAUUUACCUCACAUGGUUACUAUGUAGAAAUGGAAUAAACAUACAAAAAGCAAUUUAAUAUAGCACUUAGAUUCUCCCUCCCUCCUAGUAUUUCUGGGAUCAUUCCAAGGUACAAUACAGAAACUUUUAAUUAGACAGGAACAAGGAGAUAAGAGAGAUGCUUAGAAUUCCUUCACAUAUGCUGCCUCAUUUGUGUGUCACAACACCCUUUGGGAAAGAAGUAAAUAUCACCAUCCCCAUUUUACAGAUGAGAGAUUAGGGAACUGGCACACGCAUGGACAUUCUGCUGGUGACUGAAGUAGGAUUCAAAUUCACACAUGCAUAUUGUUUUUCCAGAGGGUUUUAAGGGGUUGGAGGACAGGGGUAGCCAAGACUUCUAGUUCCCUUCAUCUUUCCUAUGUAGCCAUUCCUACAAAUUCCACACGUCACCUGCAAGUUGCCAAUGUUACCUUUCCCUGGAAAAUCAAGCCUGAAAACCAUAGUCGAAGAUAAAAAUAGGUACAGUCACAGUUACUAACCAUGCACAAUUAGCAACUCUUCUAAUAAGAAAUAAGGAAGAGGGAGGGAGAAGGAAUGGAAGGAGAAGAGGAAGGAAAGAGAAAGGGAGAAAUGGUCAUGAAACAGAAGUCCAAAUUGUCAAGCUCUACGUUCUCUCAUCCACGUCAGGAUUUUUUUCCACAAAGGUAUCAGCUACUUAUCCUGGAACAACCUGCUGUUCCUUCUCAGCCCUUCAGCUGGGACCUGCAUUUAGAAGCCUCCAAGAAGACAUACCUGGCCAGGGUCACAUUUCUCAGAAAGGCGGCAGCAGGAAGAGUUGAGCCCGGAGGCCACCACCAGGAACAGGGUGUUUCCCUCGACACAGGAUGCAAGUUCACAAAGAAACACCAAGGACCUCCUCUAUCUCCAGCUACAGUCUCCUGCUUUCCUCAACAGAACUUAAGGGCAGGAAGGAAAGCGGAAGUCAGGAAUCAGGGCCAGGGAAGCUAAAACAAAGGCGGGUCUCUAAAAUGCAGACACACACCCAUCCCCUCCUCCUGAGCUCACACCCACAGAUUCUUAAGCUGGGAAGGGGACAAGCCACCAUAGAAUUCUAAGUGCCUCAGCCACAAACUGCCUCAAAACACUGGAGACCUUCUGUGGGCCCAAGGCCAUGCUAAAACAACAUGUGAGCUUGGCAGACUCCAAAAACUCACAGAAAUCUGUUAGGACACACUUACAUGGAUCUCUUUUCUAGACAGUUUUCCCCAGAGUCCCAGGUUAAGAACCACUGCACUAGUUGGUCACAAAGUAGGAAAACAGGGCUCUGUAAAAAUAAAUCAUCACUCUCCCACCAAAUCUUCUCUCAACUUCCCUAACUGGGUUAGGUGGACAUUCAAGCAAUAUCCCAGACAUUUCUGACUCCAUCCCUUCCUUGCCCCAUGACCAGUCAGAAACCUGGCACUAAUCCAUCCUCUGAAGCUAGUAACAUGUGAAUUCUCAUCCUUUCAUUUCCACGGUCGCCUCUAGGCCAGGCUCUUAUUAACCGUCCCGAAGGCCUACAGUCGAUAUUCUCAUUACCUGUCUGCCCUCAUGCCAAUCCAACUGUACUCUCCCGCAGAGCUGCCUUCCUAAGAGCAUCUACCACCUUUAUCACCACCACAUAUACACGCUCCAAGCUAUCAACAGCCAGGACCCUGGAGCUGGGCCACCCCGGUUUGAAUUCCAUCUCCACUGCUUCCUUUGAGUGUCUCUUUAGGUAAGUCAGCUAACCUCCGUUUCCUCCACUGUAAAAUGGAGAUAAUGAGAAUAUCUAUACCAAAUGUCUGUUGUGGGAAUUAAAUAGGAGAGUGUGUGUAAAGCACUCAGAAUGGUGAUGGCACACAGUAAUUGCUGUGUAAGUGUUAACUGUCACCAACAUGAAUAUUCUUAAAGCUUUUCACUGGUUACCAAAUAAAAUCUCACUUGGGCCAGGCAUGGUAGGUCAUGCCUGUAAUCCCAGCACGUUUAGAGGCUGAGGAAGGAGGAUCACUGGAGGACAGGAGUUGGAGAUCAGCCUGGGCAACAUAGCAAGACCUUGUCUGUACAAAAAUACAUACAUACAUACAUACAUACAUACAUACAUACCAAAACAAAAUCUCACUUCACUGAUAGGCUCUUAUGACCCUCUAUAUUCUGUCCCAAAUGGGUCAAACUAACCCCAACUUGUCCCUAAUCUGCAUGGACAUAAGCCGUUCUUCUCCUACCUGAUCCCAAGCAGGGCACCACACCAGUGCCUCACUCUAUACUGAAGUUACUGAACAUCUCCCACUCACAAGCCUCUUCCAUUUGUUCUGCCUGGGAUGCCGUGUCAUAUCAGUGUCUGUCAAACCCUCACAGCUCUCGUAGACAAGAUCAAGCACUGAUCCCACAUAAGAUACUGCCAUCGUGAAUUCCAGCAACAGCACUGAGGAUGUUAACACACCUAACAGUUUCUGUGGUCCUGUUCCUACCUGCCCAAGGGCUAAUUGGCUGGUCUACCUUAAAGCAGUAACCCUUCCUCUCGGUAAAAUGAGGUAGUUGAAACAAGUGACUUAAAAAGCCUUCUUGUCAAGGUUCUUGGGGUUAUACAGUGUUUCUCGUUCCUUUGGGACAAUUUUUCUUUCUUUCUUUCUUCUUUUUUUUUUUUUUGAGACAGUCUCACUCUGUCACCCAGCUGGAGUGCAGUGGCGUGAUCUCGGCUUGCAACCUCUGCCUCCUGGGUUCAAGCGAUUCUUCUGCCUCAGCCUCCUGAGUAGCUGGGAUUACAGGCACCAGCCACUGCACUGGGCCAAUUUUUUAUAUUUUUGGUAGUGACGGGGUUUCACCAUGUUGGCCAGGCUGGUCUCAAACUCCUGACCUCAACUGAUCCACCCGCCUUGGCCUUCCAAAGUGCUGGGAUUACAGGCGUAGGCCACCGUGCCCAGCUGGAAAAAUUUUUCAUUAAAGAAGAGGAUACAUAGGGUAACUGCACAUAUUUUUAUUUUUUAAAUGAAUAACUGAAAGCAUUCCAGGUCUCAAGUUUCCAAGGCUAGGGAAAAAAGUGAAAUUUUACUAUAUGAUGUGCAAAAUUCUUUUCUCUUUACAAUUUGAUGACCCUAUGACUUCUAGUUUUUUUCCCAAUAAACUAGAGACGACAAUUUUCAUUUCAUACCUUAUAUUAUCUCCAUGAUACAUAUUGCAAAGCCAUUUCUACCUUCCAUGUGGAAAGUAAUCCUGAGUGUUAUACCCAAAUCCAAGGCAGUUAAAAAAAAAAAAAGUUAAAUUAUUUCUCCCUACCCCUCAAUUUAGCAAUAGAAAAUUCCAGGAUAACUUUUUUCUAUAAAUGAACAGAACCAGCCCCCAAAUUUCUUAAAAGCAGCAGCUUGGAACUCAGCCACAAGAAGUUUGAAAAGUGGCAAAAAAUUUAAUAAUACCAUUACCCUGAAAUCCAAUAAAGCCUGUUGGAGCUUAACAUUUUCAAGAAAUCAGACUAUUUAUGCUAUUACCCCAGUACUGCUAUAGUUUCCUAUAAAGCCAUAAAUACACACAAUAUAGUUCACCAGAAAACUAAGAGUAUCAUAAAAAAGGCCAUAAGGAAGAUACUGCCCAUGAAGUAUAUCUCCACGGUACUUGCUACAGCAAGUUCACACAGAGGAGUUCAUUUAUUUUGAAAAUUACAUUUCCAAGUCCACAACUCCACAACUCAUCACUUUGAACUGUGAACAACUUUUAAUAUAAGUUAGAGCUUUCUUUUCAAAGACUGUUUUCACACAAGAUAAAGGUCAUACUGAAUAUCAAGGACAUGUAUAAGGCUGUCACAAUAAUGAGGAAAAGGCUCAUAACAUCUGCGUCUUCAUAUCUGCUUAAUUUAACAGUCCAUUCAGCUUUAAGUAACAGAAAACCUACCUAACAGUGGAUUCAACAAAAAGAAAGGAGUUGGAAGGCCCAGGGCUGCAGGUGUUGGCUUGAAAACAACCUCAGGGCAGGUAUCUCUGAGGCUCUUGGACUUUCCUUCAUGCUUGUCACCUCAUGGUGACAUGAAGGCUGCUGUACAUCCAGGCAUCUUAUCAGCAUUCAAGGCAGAAAGAAUGGGAAAGCAAGGGAGGGUACUGACAAGCUCAGUUGUCAGGCUUUAUAGAGACAAUAAAUGCUUUCCCAGCAACCUCACUCCCAUCCCAGUGGACUUAUUCUCAGGUCUCACUGGCCAGAAGUAGGUCACAGGGCCACACUUGCUACAAGGAAUGCUGGAAAAUCAGGGUUCAGGACUGGUAUAUUGGCUUAAUCAUCACAAUUUACUGUCGAGGCUGAUCUCCACACCACCCUGAAUUAAACUAUAGCCCUAUGAGCAACAAUGGAACAGGAUAUGGGCAGUGAGUGGGCAAUUAAUUGUGUCUCCAUUUUGAGUCUCCAUCUUGGGAAGGAGAAAAUCAUCCAAUGAAGGGUUUUCUGCUGCCAAUAUCAAAAGCAUCCACUACCUAUAAAGUAACUGUUUUAAAAAUUCCC